CGUACUAGUAUAACAACUAUACACAGCAACGUAUUAGUACAACAAUUAUACAUCCAGUUCUUAUAACAUUAAGCACCAAUGCUACUCAGUUUUGUUGCGGGUUUUCCCUCAUUACUUGAUCUUGUUGUUCUGUUUUGCUGUGUUAUUAAAUCCGGGCUUUCUUCGAAGUGAAGUAAGGUGGAAGGAGAUUAUUUAUUGGCAUAUGAGGUUUAUCAUAUUAAUUGUGGAAGUUCUUGGAUGGACUGAGCUCUUGAACGACGUGAGGUACAGAUGCUCACGUUGGUAACCCGCCAGCUUAGGAGUCCUAUUCAGCUAUCUUGGAGAGCUCCCUUGUUCCGGAGCCUAGAUUUUGGUACAGAAUCUCUUGUGGUGUAUAUGUAUUUUAUCCAGGGGUACGGCGGGGCCUUGUCCCGUCAUAUGAUACUGUUGUUACUCUUAGAGGUCUGUAGACAUAUGUGU